GCCCUUCCUCUGUGUCUUGAUUUCCUAUUCUGAGAGGCUAUUGCUUAGCGGUUUCCGUGGCAACAGUAAAGCGUGGGAAUUACAGAUAAAUUAAAACUGUGGAACACCUUUCCUCAGCUGCCGCCAAGGUGCUCGGUCCUUCCGAGGAAGCUAAGGCCGCGUUGGGGUGAGACCCUCACUUCAUCCGCUCUAAAACCAGCUCCAUCACUUGAAAUGGCAAAAUAAAUCAUGAAUUAGGCCGGGGGCUGUGGCUCACACCUGUAAUCCCAGCACUUUGGGGGGCCAAGGCAGGCAGAUCAUGAGGUCAGGAGAUCGAGACCAUCCUGGCUAACAUGGUGUAAGGGAGGAGACCACCCCUCAUAUUGUCUUAUGCCCAAUUUCUGCCUCCAAAGAAAGAAAAAGUAAAAACUAAAGGACAGAAAUGACAUCCACAAGCAGACACCCCGGGUGCCACACCCUGGGCCUGGUAGUUAAAAAUCAACCCCUGACCUGAUUGGUAUGUUAUCUAUAGAUUACAGACAUUGUAUAGAAAAGCACUGUGAAAAUCCCUUUCCUGUUUUGUUCUGAUCUAAUUACUGGUGCAUGCAGCCCCCAGUCACGUACCUCCGGCUUGCUCAAUUGAUCACGACCCUCUCACAUGCACCCCCUUAGAGUUGUAAGCCCUUAAAAGGGACAGGAAUUGCUCACUCAGGGAGCUCAGCUCUUGAGACCGGAGUCUUGCCGAUGCCCCCGGCCUAAUAAACCCCUUCCUUCUUUAACUCAGUGUCUGAGGAGUUUUUUCUGCAGCUCGAUUUCUUGGUUCCCUGACCAGGAAGCGAGGUGAAUGGCAGAUGGUCAAGGCAGCUCCUUAAGUGGCUUAAGCCUGCCCUGCAGGGGACUCCAACCAGCCCAAGCAACACGGAUCCUGAGGGCGCUCCCAGUUAGGCAUUUGCCCCAUUGGGACACCUCGCCAGAGCAGUGUGUGGCAGGCCCCCACGGAGGAUCAAUGCAGUGGCUGAACACCGGGAAGGAAUGGGCACUUGGAGUCUGGACAUCUAAAACUUGAUUCAUUCUUAUAGAAGAGCAUCAGAGGAAGAUAAAAAAGAAUCCUCAAUGUCAGGCCCCUGAGCCCAAGCUAAGCCAUCAUAACCCCGUGACCUGCACAUAUACAUCCAGAUGGCCUGAAGCAACUGAAGAACCAUAAAUGUGAAAUAGCCAGCUCCUGCCUUAACUGAUAACAUUCCACCAUUGUGAUUUGUUCCUGCUCCACCCUAACUGAUCAAUUGAUCUUGUGACAUUCCUUCUCCUGGACAAUGAGUCUCAGGAGCUCCUCACCAAGCACCUUGUUACCCCCACCCCUGCCCGCAAGAGAAAACCCACGUUAACUGUAAUUUUUCCACUACCUACCCAAAUCCUAUAAAACUGCCCCACCCCAUCUCCUUUUGCUGACUCCAGGUGAUUAAAAAACUUUAUUGCUCACACA
rnacentral:lncRNA from 1 species